AGCACUUGUGUCUGUGUGUUUGUUUAAUUUGUAGCAAAACCUUACAGACAGGUGCAAACAGUAAAUCUUCUUUUGCAGCUUUGAACUCAUUGUUGAAUAUGAGGUUUUUGGUACAUGUAGGAAGUAAUAUG
ensembl:snoRNA